UCACUUCUUUGUUCCUGUGUUCCUAGUGAGUUGUGACAGGUAGCAACUGAAGUUUUAAUUUUUUAACUUGAAGCAGGCUGAUUGUUUUUUUUAUUUAUUUAUUUUUUUUAAUAGUGCACCUGGCUUUUCUGUUUUAAUGUCAUAAAGUAUGCAUUUCUCAAGUUUUUAGGACUCUUACCACUUGCUCUCCUGUUAAUCUCACGGUCUCCUGCACAAGCCUGUCAGUCAUAUCCCACUGAGCAUGAACUGAAGAUGUCUGCUCACCAACUGACAACCAUAGUGCAUUCAAGGUCACUUUACACUGGAUCUGCACUGCAGCAUGCUUGCAUCAUCAAUAGUCAACUUGGUUGGCAGCCAAUUCCAAUGCAAGACAUCCACAUAAAAAGAGCUGGGGUGCCUAAUUUCUGCAGAAAUGUUCUCUGAGUCACCAAAGAUUAUUGUUAACAUGUCCAGUCUAAGAAUUCUGAUGCCAUUUUAUAGAAAAUCAUUCAUUUGAGCCAUGCUUGCUUCAGUAGUAACUGUCUAGACUGAGGUACAUCUCUUCAUAGACUAAACUAACUCAAGAAAUUAGAAAGCCAAUAGAUAAGUUCGAUAAAGUGUAGAAAUCAUGUGUUUAGUAUGGUGGAGAUUAUUUAAUUAUUUUGUGUGUCCAAAGACGAUCUAUUCUGUGUGAUUUAAGACGAUCAGCGAUUAAGUGUUUCUUUUGCACAGUACUAAGAAUAAAGGGCAGAUUCAUUUGAAUGUUAUGAAAUCUAUGAAUUUGCCUUUAUUUGUUGGAACGCUUUCAUUUGUAGGUGGAAAUUGUGAGCCAGGUCACUGACAUGAGGAUGACAUUGUCAUACUAUUACUAGUGCUUUACAGUGACAUUAGUAACAAGUUAACAGGCUUGCUGAACUGGAUGAUUAUUGUUUGCCUCAUGUUCCUCUAAUCAUACAUAGCAUUUAUUUCAUGCUCUAAGUCUAACACAAUGACUGUUUUUGAUUUUAAUUUUGAUUAGGGUGACAGUAUAAAAUUGUAACUAAUUUACACUAAACAAAUCUUUAAAAUACUAGUGAUGAACAUGGGCAUUUAAUUAAAUAUUUUGCAUUGAGAUUCAUAAUGAACACAGGGAUGUUUGUGCAGGUAAAUUAAACCAGUUCAUUCACAUGAACUUAUUCAUUAUAAUAAUCUCAGUCAUUGCGCAUUGAGGAAAAAGUACCCAGAACUGUAUAACAUGUCGAUUUCCAGUUCUGCCUAGUACAAAGAUGCAAGUCAGCACUGGAAAAACAAACAUAUGAUUAUUGAACUUAAAAAUGACCAUUAUCCACACCUUCACAAACAGACAGGUUGACAGAUCCAUAUUAACUUGUUUAAAUGGUCUCCUCAUGUUUGUGUACUGACUAGAUGGUUAAAGAGUGUCGAGAUCUCAGUUUGUUGGUACCAGCCAGUGAAUGUCCAGGGUGCCAAAUCCUUCAGCCACAGUCUGAACAGCAAUUGGAUUGUUGUUUUAGGAUGUGUCCACAAGCUUAUCUAAUCUGAUUGACUGAGAUAAAGUAAAGCAAACAGCUCUGACCGUGUCAGAGUGGAAAAUCUCAUUCUGUCAAAUCAAUCGUGACUUUAUUCAAGAGAGCAUCUAGAGAUCUUGUUAAUUACACUGAAAAGAUGCCUCCACAUCUAUUGUGCUUCUCUUUUACAUUCCUGUCAUUGAAAUAAACAGGCCUCCCGUUUAUCCAUAGACAUUGGCUGCUGCUAAGUACCAUGCAUGCACUUGAUUUAAUUAGAGACGACGCACAUGGUAAAUACAACCGACUGGUUUGGCUGGUUCAUAUACGCCACAGUUCGCAUGCAGGUAAUGGGUGAAUCUGUAUAGCGUGGUACGUUAUAGUGUUACUGCUCAAUGAGCUGAUGUCUUGAGAAAUUUGACAGUCAUCAUGACAUUCUAUUACAUUGUUUACUUUAAGUUUUCAAGUUCAAAUGGCUAAUUGCUUACUGUAUCUUAAAUUGAUAUCUUACAGUAAAGUUUGCAAGUUCAAGCUGAAUUUAUUAAGGGGUAUAAAGGCGGAGAUAAAUAAUCUCUCGAUAGUCUAACAGUUCACAGUAAGUGCAUUUAAUACGUUUUGUUUGCAUAAACUAAUAAUCAUAAUUUUGUACAUAGUAGGAAUGUGC
ensembl:lncRNA